GACGAACGCUGGCGGCGUGCUUAACACAUGCAAGUCGAGCGGUAAGGCCCUUUCGGGGGUACACGAGCGGCGAACGGGUGAGUAACACGUGGGUGACCUGCCCUCAGCUCUGGGAUAAGCCUGGGAAACCGGGUCUAAUACCGGAUAUGACUCCAUGACGCAUGGUUGUGGGGUGGAAAGCCUUGUGCGGCUGGAGGAUGGGCCCGCGGCCUAUCAGCUUGUUGGUGGGGGAUGGCCUACCAAGGCGACGA
rnacentral:rRNA from 1 species